rnacentral:rRNA from 1 species
GCUACCUAGUCACCGGCUGGUAAGAAGUGCAGGCAGUCUAAGCCUGGUUAUUGCAACCGGGUGUCAGGCAGCCAAAGCUUCGGCCGCGUGAUCUUCUUAGAAGGACUGGUGGCUUUUAGCCACACGAAAUAGAGCAAUAACAGGUCUGUGAUGCCCUUAGAUGUUCUGGGCCGCACACGCGCUACACUGAAGUUAUCAGCUAGUCUCCCUAGGCGUGAGCCGCGGGUAAACUGUUGAAUCAACUUCGUGGCAGGGAUCGGAGCUUGCAAUUAUUCUCCGUGAACCAGGAAUGCCCAGUAGGUACGAGUUAUCAGCUUGUAUCGAUUAAGUCCCUGCCCUUUGUACACACCGCCCGUCGCUACUACCGAUUGAAUGUCUCAGUGAGAUGCUUGGAUGGCUGGAGAUCUGUCCUAACGGGCUCUCCCCAGCUAGAAGACCAUCAAGCUGAUGCAUUUAGAGGAAGUAAAAGUCGUAACAAGGUAUCCGGUAGGUGAA